UACGUAGGGGGCAAGCGUUGUCCGGAUUUAUUGGGCGUAAAGAGCGUGUAGGCGGCCAGACAGGUCCGUUGUGAAAACUAGAGGCUUAACCUCUAGACGUCGAUGGAAACCGUCUGGCUAGAGUCCGGAAGAGGAGAAUGGAAUUCCUGGUGUAGCGGCGAAAUGCGCAGAUAUCAGGAAGAACACCCGUGGCUAAGGCGGUUCUCUAGUACGGUACUGACGCUGAGACGCGAAAGCGUGGGGAGCGAACAGG
rnacentral:rRNA from 1 species